rnacentral:misc_RNA from 1 species
AGGAAAAAAAGAAGAAGAAGAGAGAACAGGGAGAAAGGGAGGAGGAAGCAGAAGGGAAAUUGGAGCUAUUUUCCAACAUCCUAAAUUCUAAUCAAACUAUGGGGUUUAUACAUCCUUUAGUUGUUGAUCAUCCCUUCCUAUUCAUAGGAUAGAUGCUCAAGAAGUUAAAUAGAAACCAGUGACACCAAACAAAAGUUGCAGUUUUA